rnacentral:piRNA from 1 species
GAGUCUACUAUAACUUGGUCAGUAA